AGGGAAAGUUGCAAAGCCCUUUCAAGAGAGAGAGCAACAGGACGAGAAACCGCUUGCAGGGAAACAGAAGGACCCACGAAGUCCUUGUCGAUUGGCGGAGUAGGAGCUUUACGCUCUCUAUGCUAUGCUAUCCACGCCGGAGCUGUGACUCGUGUGUAUGGAGAACUGAUAGAGUGUCUUUCUGUUGGUACGGUAGACCUUAUUUGGACUAUCAACGCUGUACAGACUGCACUUGCUCAUUUUGUUCUCUUUGCACGAGGAGACAAGCAGUGUCGGAUAUUUACUCUGUACACUGUGGGGUCGGGUUGUUUUGUAUGUGGAGAGCAUCAUCGGGUUGGAGAGAUAUCUCACAUGAUCAUGCUUCUAUGGGUGUGGAGGCACUGUACUAUGCAUUAUAUGACAUGUUACUACUAUACAUCUCUUCUUCACUCCAAACCGAUAUGCUCGCACUA
rnacentral:rRNA from 1 species